ACAACAUUCGGACUGUCAAUCUACCGAGCAAUUACACCCGCUCGGUGGAAGAUCUGCCCUUUGUAGU
rnacentral:pre_miRNA from 1 species